UACUUGACGAGAGUGGAAACUCUGUCCAAUC
rnacentral:piRNA from 1 species